UUCCUGGAGGGCUAGUGGUUAGACCUCUGUGCUCUCUCAGCCGUGGCCCAGGUUCAAUUCCAGGCCAGGGAA